UUAUGGCCAUAUCACGUUGAAACACCAGUUCUUGUAUGAUCACCAAAGUUAAGCAACAUUGAACCUGGUUAGUACCUAGAUGGGUGACUGGUUGGCUGUACCACGUGCU